rnacentral:rRNA from 1 species
AUGAACGCUAGCGGCAGGCUUAAUACAUACAAGUUGAGGGGCAGCAUGAUAUACGCGAGUAUAUUGAUGGCGACCGGCGGACGGGUGAGUAAUAGGUAGGAGACCUACCUCAUACAGGGGGAUAGCAUAGAGAAAUCUGUGGUAAUACCCCAUGAGGUUAUAUGAAUAGAGGCAUAUAAUCAAAGCAUAAGCGAUUAUGCGGUAUGAGAGGGGCCUACUGACCAUUAGCUAGUUGGUGAGGUAAGGGCUCACCAAGGCGAAGAUGGUUAGGGGUUUUGAGAGAGAGACCCCCCACAUUGGAACUGAGAGACGGUCCAGACUCCUACGGGAGGCAGCAGUAGGGAAUAUUGGGCAAUGGGCGAAAGCCUGACCCAGCCAUGCCGCGUGAAGGAAGACGGCCUUAUGGGUUGUAAACUUCUUUACUACGCGAAUAGAGGUUAGUACGAGAUACUAAUAGGAAGGUAGUGUAGUAAAAAGCACCGGCUAACUCCGUG